ensembl:lncRNA uncharacterized LOC115502930
CUUCCUUCUGGCAUUUCGCAGCGUCUCUUGGAGACCAUCCCCAGGACUCCACAAAGAGAUUCCUGUCUGUCUGCCGGCUCAUCUCUCCACCACACUCGGCUAGGGAACAUUCCGCAGGAUGGACGGACGGCCUCUACAAAUAGCAGGGUGACACGGACACUUGCAGCUGCCAUUUGUCACACAGUAGCGGACAACUCAUCUCCCCGCCUGCGAGUCUUGAAUUCCUCCCAAGAUCCCAGGCUUUGAUCGGAGCCCUGCGCCCACGCAGGGGUGCACCCUUCCCCAGGGGCGGGCAGGCUGAGGCCCGCUGACUCCACCCGGAGUUCCCGCUAUGCCUUCCCGCUACGCCUACGUGAAUCACCACGAGCUGAUUCACGGCUCCGCCUCGCGGAGUUCAGCGGGAAAGUCAACAGCUGUACACGCCCACCCCCCUCCAUCUUCCAUGACUGGUGACACGACACCCGGGGUCCUGAGCCGGCAGCGAGGCCCCGCCCCUCGCCCUGUGGCCCAGACGUCAGUGGAUUCAGCUUCUCGGAGAAAGACGGGAGACACCUGAAGAGACACGGGAGAGAUGCAUCUGUCCUUUUGUCCCCUCGUCCUGGCUGUCAGGGGCAGCGCGGUGGCAUGGGG